CCAAUAGCGUAUAUUAAAGUUGUUGCAGUUAAAAAGCUCGUAGUUGAAUUUCGGGAUCAAUUUAUUGGUCGUGCUAUUGUACGUACUGGUAUUAUUGAUUCCUACCUUCUGACGAACCAUGAUGUCAUUAAUUUGGUGUCAUGGGGAAUCAGGACUGUUACUUUGAAGAAAUUAGAGUGUUUAAAGCAGGCUCACGCUUGAAUACAUUAGCAUGGAAUAACGAAAUAGGACGUUUGAUUCUAUUUUGUUGGUUUCUAGGAUCGACGUAAUGAUUAAUAGGGAUAGUUGGGGGCAUUAGUAUUCAAUUGUCAGAGGUGAAAUUCUUGGAUUUAUUGAAGACUAACUACUGCGAAAGCAUUUGCCAAGGAUGUUUUCAUUAAUCAAGAACGAAAGUUAGGGGAUCGAAGACGAUCAGAUACCGUCGUAGUCUUAACCAUAAACUAUGCCGACUAGGGAUCGGAUGAUGUUAAUUUUUUAAUGACUCAUUCGGCGCCUUACG
rnacentral:rRNA from 1 species